UCUUGAGUCCUCCUGUGACCUCACGGGUUUUGUGCUGUGCAGGCACCCAAACGCAGCACUGCCUGAUGGUGCUGCUCGAUGGCGACGGAGGCUAUGGCUUCCCGUCUGCCUUGUUUCCUGUCCGCCUCAUUUCCUGUUGACCUUGGUAUCGCAAUUGUCUCAGAUUUUUGUAGAUAUCCCUGUUGGAGAUCCCCUUCCUUUUGAAGUGAGCCACUCGUGGAUUGCUGCCGGUGAACCUUCCUGCAUGAGUAGUGAUCAGCUGCUUCAUUUUAGAUCGUUAAUGUAGCUGUUUGAGCACCGAAUGCCCUCCUGUCCCUUUUCAAGUGUGCUGACAGACUCUGCUCGAUCGAAGAGCCCAGGGCGGUGGGGCUGGUGUAUCCAGGUGGUGGCAUCUCCUUCCGGCGUGCACCCUCAGUCUUGAUUGCUCACCAUUGUGUAGUGUGUUUGAGUGUCCACAUGUGACUGGGGUGAUGCGUCGCUGGGAUCCCACUCAUCCCUUGUUGUGCCACCUUUUCACUGGAAAGCUUCAGCUCUGACAGGAUUUUACCAAUUUUUGAUAUUUAAUAAAACACCAUUUUUGA